ACGCUGGCUGCAUGCUUAACACAUGCAAGUCGAACGAGAAAGUACCUUCGGGUGCGAGUAUAGUGGCGGACGGGUGAGUAAUGCAUAGGAAUCUGCCCAGUAGUGGGGGACAACUCGGGGAAACUCGAGCUAAUACCGCAUAUUUCCUACGGGAGAAAGACUUCGGUCGCUAUUGGAUGAGCCUAUGUCAGAUUAGCUUGUUGGUAGGGUAAUGGCCUACCAAGGCUACGAUCUGUAGCUGGUCUGAGAGGAUGAUCAGCCACACUGGGACUGAGACACGGCCCAGACUCCUACGGGAGGCAGCAGUGGGGAAUAUUGGACAAUGGGCGAAAGCCUGAUCCAGCAAUGCAGCGUGUGUGAAGAAGGCCUGAGGGUUGUAAAGCACUUUCAGUAGGGAAGAUAAUGACGGUACCUACAGAAGAAGCACCGGCUAA
rnacentral:rRNA from 1 species